GCUAUGCCAGCAGUGGUGAAUGCUGAACUACCAGCUGGUCCACAUCUUGUCCAUGCUGCAGGAGAGCUCAGCUAUACCUGCUUGUCAGGAUGAAGACAGAUCACUGAGACCAGCUAGGUGUCAGCCAGCUGAGAGUCUUCAAAGAAUAAUGAAGAGGACAUUUGGAAUGAGGGAGCACACCACGGGUGCAAAGCAAAAGCUUCAGAAGUCUCUUCAGGCCUUUCUUGGAUUACAUAGAGAGUCAUCAAGCCAGCCUACAAAACAUGUGGCAGAUGUGAAAGCUACGUGCACUUUCCUAUUUCUAGUUCCCUAUGUGUGGAAACAGCCUAUCAAACGAUACCUUCUUCUGAAUACUCUGUAUACUUCUGGGUAUGGAGUUUUCCUUCCUUCCCUGCAUCUACCUUAAUGUAUUUUGGCCACUGGAUCCAAAUACUGAUGUCUCUAGAUAUCUUCCAGUCAAUGGUCUUUGUACCAGCCCCUGAGGUUGUACAGUCUCAGAGCCACAAGCUGGACUUCUGUUCUCUAUUUUAACAAACAUAAACUCCAGCAAAGUUCUAAACUUUGCAUUUUUAAAGCACAAUAUUAUAAGAAAAGUUCUUAAUGGACAAGUAUCCAAU
rnacentral:lncRNA from 1 species